UACGGACGGCGUAAGCGUUAUUCGGAAUGAUUGGGCGUAAAGGGUCCGUAGGCGGUCUUUAUAAACCUUUUGUGAAAAGCUAGGGUGUAACCGUAGACAGACAUUAACCGAUUAUUUGACUGGGAGUUAGGAGGAGGUUGGGGGAAUUUCUAGUGUAACAGUAAAAUCUUCCGAGAUUAGAAAGAACACCAAAGGCGAAGGCACCUUUCUGAUCUUAACUGACGCUGAUGGACGAAAGCGUGGGGAGCAAACAGG
rnacentral:rRNA from 1 species